GAUCCACAGGACGGGGCCCCCCGCCUCGACGCGCGCGUCGACCGGACGGACUGUCCCCAGUCCGCCUCCGAAUGCGCCGCGCGCCCAGGGCGGGGACCGGCCCACGUACAAAGGGCGCUCGAGGUCCGCGGUGAGGUCGGCCACCCAC
rnacentral:rRNA from 1 species